rnacentral:rRNA from 1 species
GGUUAAGUGACUAAGCGUACACGGUGGAUGCCUUGGCAGUCAGAGGCGAUGAAAGACGUAGUAACUUGCGAUAAGCCCAGAUUAGGUAGUAACAACCAUUUGAGUCUGGGAUUUCUGAAUGGGGAAACCCACGUGCAUAAGCACGUAUCCUUACCUGAAUACAUAGGGUAAGGAGGCGAACCGGGGGAACUGAAACAUCUAAGUACCCCGAGGAAAAGAAAUCAACCGAGAUUCCGAAAGUAGCGGCGAGCGAAAUUGGACUAGCCCUUAAGCUUUACACGCGUUAGACGAACGGUCUGGAAAGUCCGACGAUACAGGGUGAUAGUCCCGUAGUUGACGACGUGUGUUCAGUGAAAUCGAGUAGGGCGGGACACGUGAUAUCCUGUCUGAAUAUGGGGGGACCAUCCUCCAAGGCUAAAUACUACUGACUGACCGAUAGUGAACCAGUACCGUGAGGGAAAGGCGAAAAGAACCCCUGUGAGGGGAGUGAAAUAGAACCUGAAACCGUGUACGUACAAGCAGUAGGAGCAGGCUUUGUCCUGUGACUGCGUACCUUUUGUAUAAUGGGUCAGCGACUUAUAUUCAGUGGCAAGGUUAACCAUCUAGGGGAGCCGUAGGGAAACCGAGUCUUAACUGGGCGUUCAGUCUCUGGAUAUAGACCCGAAACCAGGUGAUCUAGCCAUGGGCAGGUUGAAGGUUGAGUAACAUCAACUGGAGGACCGAACCGACUAAUGUUGAAAAAUUAGCGGAUGACUUGUGGCUAGGGGUGAAAGGCCAAUCAAACCUGGAGAUAGCUGGUUCUCCCCGAAAGCUAUUUAGGUAGCGCCUCGGACGAAUACUACUGGGGGUAGAGCACUGUUAAGGCUAGGGGGUCAUCCCGACUUACCAACCCUUUGCAAACUCCGAAUACCAGUAAGUACUAUCCGGGAGACACACGGCGGGUGCUAACGUCCGUCGUGGAGAGGGAAACAACCCAGACCGCCAGCUAAGGUCCCAAAUUACUACUAAGUGGGAAACGAUGUGGGAAGGCUCAGACAGCCAGGAUGUUGGCUUAGAAGCAGCCAUCAUUUAAAGAAAGCGUAAUAGCUCACUGGUCGAGUCGGCCUGCGCGGAAGAUGUAACGGGGCUAAGUAGUAAACCGAAGCUGCGGCAAUGUGCUUUUGCACAUUGGGUAGGGGAGCGUUCUGUAAGCGGUUGAAGGUGUGUGGUAACGCAUGCUGGACGUAUCAGAAGUGCGAAUGCUGACAUGAGUAACGAUAAAGGGGGUGAAAAACCUCCUCGCCGGAAGACCAAGGGUUCCUGUCCAACGUUAAUCGGGGCAGGGUAAGUCGACCCCUAAGGCGAGGCCGAAAGGCGUAGUCGAUGGGAAACGGGUUAAUAUUCCCGUACUUCUUACAAUUGCGAUGGGGGGACGGAGAAGGCUAGGUGGGCCUGGCGACGGUUGUCCAGGUUCAAGUGCGUAGGCUUGAGAGUUAGGUAAAUCCGGCUCUCUUUAAGGCUGAGACACGACGUCGAGCACCUACGGGUGUGAAGUCAUUGAUGCCAUGCUUCCAGGAAAAGCCUCUAAGCUUCAGAUUGUAAGGAAUCGUACCCCAAACCGACACAGGUGGUCGGGUAGAGAAUACCAAGGCGCUUGAGAGAACUCGGGUGAAGGAACUAGGCAAAAUGGUACCGUAACUUCGGGAGAAGGUACGCUCUCGACGGUGAAGUCCCUCGCGGAUGGAGCUAUUGAGAGUCGCAGAUACCAGGUGGCUGCAACUGUUUAUUAAAAACACAGCACUGUGCAAAAUCGUAAGAUGACGUAUACGGUGUGACGCCUGCCCGGUGCCGGAAGGUUAAUUGAUGGGGUUAGACUUCGGUCGAAGCUCUUGAUCGAAGCCCCGGUAAACGGCGGCCGUAACUAUAACGGUCCUAAGGUAGCGAAAUUCCUUGUCGGGUAAGUUCCGACCUGCACGAAUGGCGUAAUGAUGGCCACGCUGUCUCCACCCGAGACUCAGUGAAAUUGAAAUCGCUGUGAAGAUGCAGUGUACCCGCGGCUAGACGGAAAGACCCCGUGAACCUUUACUACAGCUUGGCACUGAACAUUGACCCUACAUGUGUAGGAUAGGUGGGAGGCUUUGAAGCACGUACGCCAGUAUGUGUGGAGCCGUCCUUGAAAUACCACCCUUGUAGUGUUGAUGUUCUAACGU